UCGUAAGUCGCUGCAUGGCACUUGGUCAGCAGCGGCGAGCUUCGUUCGUCCCGAAUGGAUGUGGCGAAGUUUCACCCGAAAAAGGAA
rfam:Pseudomonas sp. Lz4W Contig39, whole genome shotgun sequence.